GAUUCUGGCUCAGGAUGAACGCUGGCGGCGUGCCUAACACAUGCAAGUCGAACGGGGUGCAUAAGCGGAAAUUUUCGGAUGGGAGGUUAUGCACUUAGUGGCGGACGGGUGAGUAACACGUGGGCAACCUGCCCCAUGCCGGGGGAUACCGCCUGGAAACAGGCGCUAAUACCGCAUAAGCGCGAAACGGCGCAUGCCGUAUUGCGGAAAGCUCCGGCGGCACGGGAUGGGCCCGCGUCCGAUUAGCCAGUUGGCGGGGUAACGGCCCACCAAAGCGACGAUCGGUAGCCGGCCUGAGAGGGCGGACGGCCACAUUGGGACUGAGACACGGCCCAAACUCCUACGGGAGGCAGCAGUGGGGAAUAUUGCACAAUGGGGGGAACCCUGAUGCAGCAACGCCGCGUGAGUGAAGAAGCAUUUCGGUGCGUAAAGCUCUGUCAGCGGGGAAGAAAGAAAGACGGUACCCGACCAAGAAGCCCCGGCUAACUACGUGCCAGCAGCCGCGGUAAUACGUAGGGGGCGAGCGUUAUCCGGAAUUACUGGGUGUAAAGGGAGCGCAGACGGCGGAUUAAGCCUGAAGUGGAAGGCCGGGGCCCAACCCCGGGAGUGCUUUGGGAACUGGUCAGCUGGAGUAUGGGAGGGGUAAGCGGAAUUCCUGGUGUAGCGGUGAAAUGCGUAGAUAUCAGGAGGAACACCGGUGGCGAAGGCGGCUUACUGGACCAUAACUGACGUUGAGGCUCGAAAGCGUGGGGAGCGAACAGGAUUAGAUACCCUGGUAGUCCACGCCGCAAACGAUGAUUACUAGGUGUCGGGUGUCGAAGGACGGCCGGUGCCGCAGCAAACGCAGUAAGUAAUCCACCUGGGGAGUACGUUCGCAAGAAUGAAACUCAAAGGAAUUGACGGGGACCCGCACAAGCGGUGGAGCAUGUGGUUUAAUUCGAAGCAACGCGAAGAACCUUACCCGGCCUUGACAUCCCCCUGACAGUAUCUGUAAUGGAUAUUACCUUCGGGACAGGGGAGACAGGUGGUGCAUGGUUGUCGUCAGCUCGUGUCGUGAGAUGUUGGGUCAAGUCCCGCAACGAGCGCAACCCCUGCCGCCAGUAGCCAGCAGGUAAAGCUGGGGACUCUGGUGGGACUGCCGGGGAUAACCCGGAGGAAGGCGGGGUUGACGUCAAAUCAUCAUGCCCCUUAUGGCCGGGGCUACACACGUGCUACAAUGGCGUAAACAGAGGGAGGCGAGAGUGUGAGCUUAAGCGAACCCCAAAAAUAACGUCCCAGUUCGGAUUGCAGCCUGCAACUCGGCUGCAUGAAGCUGGAAUCGCUAGUAAUCGCGGAUCAGAAUGCCGCGGUGAAUACGUUCCCGGGUCUUGUACACACCGCCCGUCACACCAUGGGAGUCGGGAACGCCCGAAGCCGGUGGCCUAACCGAGAGGGAGGAGCCGUCGAAGGCGGGCCUGGUGACUGGGGUGAAGUCGUAACAAGGUACCC
rnacentral:rRNA from 1 species